GGAGCAUAGUCAUUAUCACAUAAAGCCAGGGUGAAUAGCGUUUUCACAUCUAUGGUGUCAGGAAGUGUUUGUAUUCCUGACACUAUAGUGUUCCUUUAAGCAGGAACAUUCUGGUCACCAUAACAACGUCAUCUAAAUGAAAAUGCUAUAAUGCCAGGAAGCUCUUUUUCCUUUAAGGGGUUAAACUGCUCUCAAAUGGUUUAACCCCAAAGGCUUCCUCCAGCUCCAGAUUUCCAGGUCGCUCAGUGGUAUUCGGCUUCUGAAACAGAGUGUCAGGAAGUGCAGAUUGACGUCAGGCAUGGGUGCUACAGAUUGGCUAGAGUGCUCAGUUGAUGCUCUAAGCCAAUCGCUAGUUCCCAGUUCAUAAAAAUGUUUUACUUUUUUAUGAAUGAGGAGCUACUGAUUGGCUUAGAGUGACAGCUGAGCGCUCUAGCCAAUCAGCGACAACCCUCACCAGUGGCUCUCUGUGCUUCCUGACACUCCGUAAAUAAAAGUGAACCCAUUAACACUGAUAUUUUUUUUUACCUGGGGAGAUGAGAAGGUCCAAAGUUUCCCUUUUUCUUCUGACUCUGUCUUCUCUCCUCCUUGGCUCCUUCUGCUACUUUACCUUUUUGCUACUUUCUGCUUAUUGUGCUCUCCCUUCUGCUCCUUUCUCUUACUGAUCCCUUUCUGCUCCUUGCAGACCCUUUCUGCUCUUUCUCCUACUUUACCUUUGUGCUCCUUGCUGUCCCUUUCUGCUCCUUGCUACCCUUUUCUGCUCCUUCUCCUACUUUACCUUUGUGCUCCUUCUGAUUCUUUCUGCUCCUUUACCUUUGUGCUCCUUCUGUCCCUUUCUGCUCUUUGCAGACCCUUCCUUCUCCUUGCAGACCCUUCCUGCUCCUUGCAGACCCUUCCUGCUCAUUUCUGUUCCUUCUCCUACUUCGCCGUUGUGCUCCUUCUGUCCCUUCCUGCUCCUUGCUGCCCUUUUCAGAUCCUUGCUGACCCUUGUUGCUCCGUCUAUGCUACCUUUGUGCUGCUUUACCUUCCUGCUCCUUGCUGGCCCUUCCUGCUUCUUGCUGGUCCUUCCUGCUCCUUGUUGACCCUCCCUGCUCCUUGCAGACCCUUCCUUCUCCUUGUUGACCUUUCGUGCUCCUUGAACACCCUUCCUGCUCUUUGCUGCCCCUUCCUGCUCAUUUGUGUUCCUUUGUGCUCCUUCUCCUACUUUACCUGUUGUGCUCCUUGCUGUCCCUUCCAGCUCCUUGCUGCCCCUUUCUGCUCAUUUCUAUUCCUUCUUCUUUCUGCUCUUUCCUUCUCCUUUCUGCUCCUUCUCUUACUUUCCUUGCUGACCCUUCCUGUAGGCUGUCUCCCCCAUUCCUUACUUACCUGAUCUAUAGGCCAUCUCUGCCCCCCCAUGCCUCACUUCGCUAUCUCUGCCCCCCAUAUGCCUCACUUCCCUGAUCUGUAGGCUAUCUCUGCCCCCCAUAUGCCUAACUUCCCUGAUCUGUAGGCUAUCUCUGCCCCCAUCCCUCACUUCCCUGAUCUGUAGGCUAUCUCUGUCCCCCAUCCC